AUUGAACGCUGGCGGCAGGCCUAACACAUGCAAGUCGAGCGGAUGAAGGGAGCUUGCUCCUGGAUUCAGCGGCGGACGGGUGAGUAAUGCCUAGGAAUCUGCCUGGUAGUGGGGGAUAACGUCCGGAAACGGGCGCUAAUACCGCAUACGUCCUGAUGGAGAAAGUGGGGGAUCUUCGGACCUCACGCUAUCAGAUGACCCUAGGUCGGAUUAGCUAGUUGGUGGGGUAAAGGCCUACCAAGGCGACGAUCCGUAACUGGUCUGAGAGGAUGAUCAGUCACACUGGAACUGAGACACGGUCCAGACUCCUACGGGAGGCAGCAGUGGGGAAUAUUGGACAAUGGGCGAAAGCCUGAUCCAGCCAUGCCGCGUGUGUGAAGAAGGUCUUCGGAUUGUAAAGCACUUUAAGUUGGGAGGAAGGGCAGUAAGUUAAUACCUUGCUGUUUUGACGUUACCAACAGAAUAAGCACCGGCUAACUUCGUG
rnacentral:rRNA from 1 species